GCCUGGCUGGCUCAGUGGUUGAGCACCUGCCUUCAGCCCAGGGCCUGAUCCUGGAGACCCGGGAUCGAGUCCUGCGUCGGGCU
rnacentral:tRNA from 1 species